rnacentral:rRNA from 1 species
GACGUAGGGGGCUAGCGUUGUCCGGAAUCAUUGGGCGUAAAGCGCGUGUAGGCGGCCCGGUAAGUCCGCUGUGAAAGUCGGGGGCUCAACCCUCGAAUGCCGGUGGAUACUGUCGGGCUAGAGUGCGGGAGAGGCGAGUGGAAUUCCUGGUGUAGCGGUGAAAUGCGCAGAUAUCAGGAGGAACACCAAUUGCGAAGGCAGCUCGCUGGAACGUAACUGACGCUGAGACGCGAAAGCGUGGGGAGCAAACAGG